CCUACGGGAGACUGCAGUGAGGAAUAUUGCACAAUGGGGGAAACCCUGAUGCAGCGACGCCGCGUGAGUGAAGAAGUAAUUCGUUACGUAAAGCUCUAUCAGCAGGGAAGAAAAUGACGGUACCUGACUAAGAAGCCCCGGCUAACUACGUGCCAGCAGCCGCGGUAAUACGUAGGGGGCAAGCGUUAUCCGGAUUUACUGGGUGUAAAGGGAGCGUAGACGGUGCGGCAAGUCUGGAGUGAAAGGCCGCAGCUUAACCGCGGAACUGCUUUGGAAACUGGGGAACUAGAGUGCAGGAGGGGUAAGCGGAAUUCCUAGUGUAGCGGUGAAAUGCGUAGAUAUUAGGAGGAACACCGGUGGCGAAGGCGGCUUACUGGACCGUAACUGAUGUUGAGGCUCGAAAGCGUGGGGAGCAAACAGGAUUAGAUACCCCUGUAGUC
rnacentral:rRNA from 1 species